rnacentral:rRNA from 1 species
AUACGGGGGGGGCGAGCGUUGUUCGGAUUUACUGGGCGUAAAGGGCGCGUAGGCGGUGAGAGAAGUUUUGGGUGAAAGCCCCCGGCUCAACCGGGGAAGUGCCUGGAAAACCAUCUGACUGGAGUGCUGGAGAGGCAAGCGGAAUUUCUGGUGUAGCGGUGAAAUGCGUAGAUAUCAGAAGGAACAUCGGAGGCGAAGGCGGCUUGCUGGACAGACACUGACGCUGAGGCGCGAAAGCUAGGGGAGCAAACGGGAUUAGAUACCCCAGUAGUCC